UACGGAGGGUGCGAGCGUUGUCCGGAAUCAUUGGGCGUAAAGGGCGCGUAGGUGGCCCAGUCAGCGUGCGGUGAAAGCUCGGGGCUCAACCCCGGGUCGGCCGUGCGAACUACUGGGCUGGAGCACUGUAGAGGCAGGCGGAAUUCCGGGUGUAGCGGUGGAAUGCGUAGAGAUCCGGAAGAACACCGGUGGCGAAGGCGGCCUGCUGGGCAGUUGCUGACACUGAGGCGCGACAGCGUGGGGAGCAACAGG
rnacentral:rRNA from 1 species